UUACGGUCACAUCAUGUUGAAACCCCAUUUCCCGUACGAUUACCGAGUUAAGCAACGUCGUGCUUGGUCAGUAUCUAGAUGGGUGACCGCUUGGGAAAACUAGGUGCUGUAAGC